UGAGGAAGGAAGGGUUUGGGGAGAGGCAGGAGGGGAGUGGAGGGGACGAGGAGGUGCGGAGGCGCCAGCAGAUACCUGGGCCCUUCCGCCCCGAUGUGUUGGGGUCUGGGGCCCCGAAACGCCCCCUCCAGUCCAGCCUGGGCAAGCUGGGAGGCCGCCGGGUGCGCCAGCCACGGUCGCCUGCGUCGUGGAAAACCUAGUGAGCCCCAGGCGUUAGGCGCCUGGAGGCCACGCGGAGUUUUCGCGAACGCGCCGGGCGGUGCAGGGAUGCCCUGUCUGGGAGAGUGCACGGUGGGAAGCGGGCACGCCUUGUAGGCAGCUGCCUGCGCUUGUGUACGUGGCUGCUGACGUGGAGAACUGUAGCUGUGGAAAGCCUGCUACCCAGGAAGGACGCAGGGGGUGCAGUCGCGGCCCAUUCUCUGUGCCUGGAAAGUCCUGAAGGCACUAGGAGUUGUCAGAUUAAACCCCCAGACCCACGAGGUAUCUGUUUUCACCAGAAAAUUUGUGAAUUGACAGACCAUAAAAUCUGUGGUAAGUUCAUGGGCUCCAUCAAUGCCAUUGUGAAAAAUUGACCCUCUGUUUCCCAGAUUGCAACUCCUCAAAUCUUGGUUUGUUUGCUGUUUUGUUAGGAUUUGUUACAACUUCUUGCUUAUUGCCUUUUGUUUCACAAGCAGUGCUGAAGACAAUAUGGACUUGAUAUUGGAAAGAGAGUAAGAAUAUGAAACCCACAGUUUUGUGACAUGAGAACACCAACUGGCCAGUCCCUAUUAUCUGCAGGAUGUGCUUUUCUUAAGGAUGAUCAUAUUUUGGUUCACAGGCUUCCAAGACAAGCACAUUCCUGCCAACAUGAUCCCUGGACAAGCUGUUCUGGAAUUUGAACUCGCUACUGGAAGAGGGUUAAGUCCAGGACACACACACACACAUUUCAGGGGGAGGCAAGCCGUAGCUGGGUAUGUUAGCACCUCAUUAUACAACAGUUUCAGGAUAAAGUGAUUCCAGAUGUGCUCUCAGCAAGUACCUAGUUUUUAUAUUUUUAACCCAUUAGGCUAAAAUCCACUUUCAGAAUUUUGGGGAAGCCAGAGUUAGUUAAUUAACUUGUCAUUCCUAAUUAUUUCAUAAAGUUGAUUCUAAGUUGAUUAUAAUUUGCAGUAUGUUUCGAGUUGGGGAUAUCCAUUAUAACCAUAUAAAGCAUACAUAUUUAUACACACACACACACACACACACACACACACACACACACACACAACAUAAUCACCAGACAUAUCUUUGACAAUGAUUAGAAGUUCAUUUGGAGUACUGGUUUAAUGAUCAUUAGGUUUCUUUGACCUGGAAAUUUCAUUUAGAAACAUUAGGAAAAUAUAUAUCUAAGAAGUAGUAUUCUAGUUUCUUUCUUCUCAUUGAUGAAGCUGCAGUGAUCAUCAUUGUGAUUCUGAAGCAUAAACUUCAGAGUAAGUCCUGGUUAAAGGGCUUCCUCUCUUUUUUUAAAAAGCAAGAUUUGAAAUUUUUUUCUUUGUAACCUAAAUUUACAAUAAAGAGUUAAAGAGAAAAGAUAAUGAAUGUUUUCCCUGAUAAUUCAGAUUAUUAUUAGGAAUAUGGAAUUUUUGGAUCACUUGGCCCUAGAAGGUGGAGAGUUGAAGGUGAACAUUUCAUUUUGGUUUCAAAUAUUUUAAAUUUGCCUGCAGAAAUUAUGUUUUCUGCUUAAUACAACCGAAGCCCUCUUAGCUGGUCUUACUUGAGUUGAGAAUAUUGCAUCCUAGUGUGCUCUUUUGAUUUUGUUUUGCUCUAAAGUAAAUUUUUAAAAAUUUAGGUGUGCUAUCUGGCAUCAAAGACAAAACCAUUGUUUGCUAAAGGCUGUAACCUAGGGCAUUAUACACUAAAUGGGAAUACAGGAAAACAUAUUCUUCAGAGGUACGUGUUUUGUUGCAACUAGGGCAGUACCUACAGCAAAGCAGUCUGGGUACGAUGGACUGGAUCCAGACUGCGUGGUUUCAUUUCUGCUUCUGCUUUUUACUAGCUGUGUGCUUCAAUUUCACAAAUGUGAAAGAUGAAUAAUAACUCGUGAGGAUUUAGUUAAGUCUGAACUUGUAAAGGUAGCACUUAGAACCAUGCCUGGCAUAUGUUAAGUACUAUGCAAGUGUGAGCUUAAAUAAACAAAGGAAUUUCAGAUUUUGUCUUUGUCAUGUCAGAGAGGCUAACAUCAAGUGAUGGCUGAAGAAGCAUACAACUAGUUAGAUUUAAAAGAAAAAUGAUCUUUGGGAUUAAUCCUCUCUUGUGAAAAGUUUUCUAGAGCUUCCAUCCAGCUGUAAUCAAAAGCUGGAGGACAAGAAGGUGAGUAAAGUGUAGCAGAGUGAAUGCCAUUGAUUAAAGAAAGGCGAGGUCCUUGCUUUAUGACAAUUGUUUCUAUUAUUUCUAUUUGGAGAGAAAGACCUUUGGUGUUACCCAUCAGCAGGAGAUGGACUGUAGUCUUUGUGUGGAUUGACAAACAUCUGAAGUUUAACAAUGUGAAGGGCUUUCUUUGCAGGAAAUGAAAAAGUUGUGAUUUUCCCUAAGUAAUUUAGAGUCACUAUUGAGCCAGCCAGGUUGGGCCCACUAGUCUCUACAACAGUUUUGUGACAUUAGCCUUGUGCUGUUGCAGCAGUUCAGACUCAUGGAGCCUUUUGCUUAGAAGACCUCUCUUCCUUCUGGCUGACACAGCCCCAUCACAGGGUGCAGGGCUUGGCAAGUGGAGUACAGGAUGGUUUUCAGCCGUUACCACCUCUUCCCACCAGGACACGGUGCAGUAUACAAAUGGCACAUUGAAUGUGGUAGCUAUGAAGACAGGUUUUUGAAUUUCACUUUCUGUGCUUCAGCUCAGGAGAUACGUUGUUUAUUCUAUUGUUCUGUCUUAGUCAACUUUAAUAGCUGGAUCUGGGGAAGAGAUGGUUCAGUAUUUUUUGUCAUUGAAUCCAAUGGUUGAUUGCUAAUUAUUAGUUAAGGUAAUCUACAAACAUCCUGCUGACAUUCAAGAUUGUUUUCUAUCAGACGUUUCAUGAAGCCACUUAAUUUAGGGUUAAGGUCCUGCUGGACCUUAUAGGAAUCUAAAAGCAAGGAGAAAGGCAUCAGAAUAUCACACCCUUUUAGCUAUAAAUCAUAUUUCUGUAAUGCUGUUGCUACUUUUUUUCUACAUGCUCUUGCAAUUUAAGAUGAUGCAUUUUAUUUCCAGUGGUUUGCAAACUGUAACUGAAAGACAGAAUGCUCGGAAAAGCCUCUGGCUAAAAACUAGUCUAUUGACAUAGAAUCAUGUCAGGAGUGGCCCGUGAGAUUUGUGGGUUUUGGCCUCUUGUUUCUCAUCCAAUAUUUCUUUUCAGGAUUAUCACAGUUAAAUUCCUCAUUGGAUAUGCACUAGAUUAAAAUCACAUUAAAGCUUGGACUUAAGCAUAGCAAAAAGUCUUGAUUCUUUGACAUUACCUCCCAAGAUUCUUCUGUUAUGGUUUCAGUGGUCCUGAAUUUUGGAAGAUGCAGAUACGAUAAUAAUGCCACUAUCCCCUACAAGGAGGAUGCCACCUGUAAUAAGGCACUGAGAAGUUUUAUUGUCUCAAAUAUAUUUAUUCUCAUUCUUAAGAAAACUUGAAAUAACUUGUGUUGUUUUGUUCUUAUUUCUGUUUAGAAAUCUUUUUCAUUUCCCCUGCCCUGUCUUUUCCAUUCAGAAAUGAGUACAGACUGUUUUUUAGCUCACUCAUGAGCUCUAGAAACAGUCGUUUUGAUUAUUAAAUUUUUAUCUAACAAUAAGUAACAUGCACUUAAUGCAUUAUAGUUUAUAAAGCACUUUUUUCCAAAUGCAUUACACAUUUAAUAUCAUGAACUUUUGAGAUGGAUAUUACAAUUUUCUCCUUUUUUGCAAACUGGGAAACUAAAGCUCAGAGAUCCAUGUACUGUGCUACCCAAAGGAUAUAGGAAGAGAACCAGACUUUUUACCUUUAAUUGAUCAAAAAAGAGAUGUCAUCACAAUUUCCAUGUGAGUAACCUGUCCUGAAAUUAUAAGACAUCCUUUGCUCACUUAAUUACAUGUAGUGUUGUUGCUGGACUUUUCCUUAGUUCAGCCAAAGAUGGGGUUCUUGUCAUAGGGCCAUGAAAAUUUAGGCUUGCAGACAAUUUAAAGGGUGAGUAAGGCAAGGUUUUAUUGGGUGGAAAGGAAAACAAGGGGAAAUGGAGACUCUUAGCAAAGCAAGAGAGUGUGCUUCUUGCCCCUGGGUUCCCGCCUUGCUGAUUGAAUCCCAGGUUUCACCCAGGAAGAGGAGGGGCCGGGCUCCUCCCUGCAGACUUCUGUGGCUCCGCCCCAGUGCGCAGGCCAGUUGAAGUUUUGUUGGGGAGCCUUUCCCAUGUGACUGUCUCUGUGUAGUACAUGUGAUGUGGCCUAAAUUGGAAAAUAUCUAAAUUAGUAGCUACCUGUGAAUUUGUCCUAACUUAUUUAGAGAAUCUUUUGAAAUGAUUUAAAAUUCUUUGGGUUGUCAGCUCAGACUACACACACACACACACACACACACACACGAACAACCCUUGAGCAAAAUUAAUGGUAGUGAAUCUGCAGCCUUUCAAAGUAAUCAGAGAACCUUGAACUCCAGCUAAUUUGACAUUUUCACCUUUUCUAACUUUUUUCAGAGUGUGUUGACAUUCAGGUCAAUUUUGAGCUGCUUUUAAGAAUACCUAGUGUCUAGUAUAGUAUAGGUAUUUCCAUUUCAAAUAAAUGACUGAAUUGUUCAACAUAUGGACAAAUGACAAUUUGUAAAUAGGCAUCUCUAAAUGCAGGGUACCUACAUGCAAUACAAAUAGAAGUCUCAUUAUGUUUAUCAUUUUAAACUAGAAGGUUUUGGCAUAGUUUGAAGUGAUAUUAGAGAAGAAGCAAGGACUUUGGAACCUGAAAAGAUCUGGAAUUGAAUCUUCACCUUAACAUUUACUGCUGGUUAUUACACCUUUGUUACGCAUUCCACUUAACUUCUCUGAUCUUCAGUCUCUGCACCUGCAAAUUUGGGAUUAUAUUAUCUACUUACAACAUUACUGGAAGGACCAUCUGAAUUAAUAUGUGCAAGGUAACCUGCACAGUGCUUAAUGCAUGAAAUGUGCUCAAAGUUCAUGCAUUUUUAGAACUUAUUUGUAUAUACAACUUUGUAGCCAAUUAACAGCACUCCCAAUUAACAGAUUGUAUAUUUUCUGAUUAACUUUUGUGUGUAAAAAUCCAGCUGCAUAAUCUAUGGUAUAAAAGACCUGUGGUGACAGUAGCAGUUCAGUAUGCCUAUUCUGAACUCUUCACAAAGAGUAAAAGGCCAAAAAUAGUUAAGAUAAUUUUGAAGAUGACCAAGAUGCAGAUAUAUACAUUAAUAGAUCUCAAGACUUAUUAUGAAGCCAUCGUAAUCAAGGAAGGGCAAUGAUGGCAAAGGCAUAGACAUACAUGCUGAUGGGACAGAAGGAACAGUUAGGAAACAGACCCACACACAAGUGGAAACUUGUUAUAUAUAAUAGGUAAUAUAGGAGAAGAGUUUGAUGAUUCAGUAAUGGAUUCUGGUACAACUAGUUACUCACAUG